rnacentral:rRNA from 1 species
GAUGAACGCUGGCGGCGUGCCUAAUACAUGCAAGUCGAGCGAACAGACGAGGAGCUUGCUCCUCUGACGUUAGCGGCGGACGGGUGAGUAACACGUGGAUAACCUACCUAUAAGACUGGGAUAACUUCGGGAAACCGGAGCUAAUACCGGAUAAUAUAUUGAACCGCAUGGUUCAAUAGUGAAAGACGGUUUUGCUGUCACUUAUAGAUGGAUCCGCGCCGCAUUAGCUAGUUGGUAAGGUAACGGCUUACCAAGGCAACGAUGCGUAGCCGACCUGAGAGGGUGAGCGGCCACCACGAAACUGGGACACGGCCCAGACCCCUCGGGGGGGCGGAAGGGGGGAAUUCUCCGCAAGGGGGGAAAGCCGGACGGGGCAACGCCGCGUGAGUGAGGAAGGUCUUGGGAUCGAAAACCUCUUUUUUUGGGGAAAAAAAAAUGUGAAAGUAAGUAUGCACGUCUUGACGGUACCAAACAAAAAAGCCACGGCUAACUACG